rnacentral:rRNA from 1 species
GACGAACGCUGGCGGCGUGCUUAACACAUGCAAGUCGAACGGAAAGGCCCUGCUUGCAGGGUACUCGAGUGGCGAACGGGUGAGUAACACGUGGGUGAUCUGCCCUGCACUUCGGGAUAAGCCUGGGAAACUGGGUCUAAUACCGGAUAGGAGCCAUUUUUAGUGUGAUGGUUGGAAAGUUUUUUCGGUGUAGGAUGAGCUCGCGGCCUAUCAGCUUGUUGGUGGGGUAAUGGCCUACCAAGGCGGCGAAGGGUAGCCGGCCUGAGAGGGUGGACGGCCACAUUGGGACUGAGAUACGGCCCAGACUCCUACGGGAGGCAGCAGUGGGGAAUAUUGCACAAUGGGCGCAAGCCUGAUGCAGCGACGCCGCGUGGGGGAUGACGGCCUUCGGGUUGUAAACUCCUUUCGCUAGGGACGAAGCUUUUUGUGACGGUACCUAGAUAAGAAGCACCGGCUAACUACGUG